rnacentral:lncRNA from 10 species
GUCCCGGGUCCAGCAGCAGCACUGGCAUCACCUGGGAGCUCAUUAGAAAUGCAAAUCCUCAGACCCCAUCCCAGGCCCAGUGAAUCAGGAAUCUGUAGCUUAACAGGAUCCCCAGGAGAUUUAUAAGACGUUACAGUUUGAAAAGCACUGGGAUGAAUGAUCUUUAAAUUCCCUUUCAGUUCUAAGCUUCUACAAUCUAUGACAUUUCUUGUGACCCUGUCUGGAGGAGACUGCUGGGAGUUCCCUGGAAGGCUGCUGACUGGCUGGGCACUGAGCAAACCCGAGGGUGCCUCAGCAACCAGGCUCCAAUGCCAGGCAUCCAGGCAUGGCAGGCAGCCACUGGCUGCAGGUUAGUGUGACCCUCUCGGAGAUUCGUGCUGCCCUCCUGCCAGGGAAAUGGCUCAAGUUGUCACGACAGAGCAUGACCCUGAGAUAGAAGCUGGGGGUGGUGCCCCCGUGCAAUGAGCUUUGCUUGUUUGUGCAGGCUUCCUUGGAGCCUCACGUAGCCAGGCUCAGCUGCUCUGCCACCCUUUAGGCUGCUGGGUAGCCAGAGUAAGGAGAAAGGAAGAGAAUGAAAAAGGACGAUGUAUGGCAAGUUCUGAGGUUGUGGACAAAGGGAAGAGGGUGCCUGCUAAAAUGUUCCCCCCAAAGCAAAGAAAGCUUCAGAUGUUGAACUCCUAUGGUUUCUUGGGAUGACAGAAGGAUAUGGAAUAAGAGUAGUGCAGUGGGAAUCAGCAGUGUGGGUUCUAGAGUAGACUUCCUCCUUUUGAAUGAUCUAGACAAGUCUCUUUCCCUUUCUGGAUCUCAGUUUCCACAUCUGUAAUGUGAGAUCAGAUUAAUUCAUUCAAAUACUAUAUUUGAGCCCCUGGGACAUGGCUGACACAUGACUAGGUGCUGGGAACACAAGUGAUAUUUAUGGAGCUACACGUUGAAUAAUUUUCUAAAGAAUCUUCCAGGGCUUGAAUAUUCUAUUUUAGGACAGGCUCUGGACUCAGAGUUGGGUUCAAAUCUGAACUUUAUAACUUACUUACUAGUUGGGUGCAAGAAAGCUCUUAACUCUCAGUUUGCUCAUAUGGAAAAUGGGCAUAACAGUUUCUUUCAUAAUGGUGCUAUGAGGAUUAGAAUGUAAGUGUAAGGCACCUCCCAGGAAGUACUCAACGCAGUCACUUAUUAGACAUUUACCAUGUGCCCUGUGUGAGCGACAUACUCUGGUAUGAGGGCAACGAGCCACGCCUGGCUGCUGAGCACUUGAAAUGCAGCUAGCUCAUCUGAAAUGUGCCGUGCUUGUAAAAUACACACUGGAAACUGAAAACCUCGUAUGAAUGAAAGAAUGCAAAAUAUCUCAUUGACAAUAUUUUCUAUUGAUUACAUGUUGA